rnacentral:lncRNA from 1 species
UGAGACUGUGUAGGGAUGUGAUUUGAAUAGGACUGUGACUGAACGAGUGGGAUGUUGUUAUUUAUCUAUUUAUGUAUUUGGUUUUGAGGUCGUUGUUCCCCCUCCCCUUUUCCGCAAAGGAAAUGUAUUUUCUUCUACAGUUUACUAACCUUACAGUAGGUGGCUGCAGACAGGUUAUAGUUGUGCAAAUGUCAGUACACCAGAGAACAAGAUGACGCUGCUGCACUGUCCAAGUGGGGAACAGGAAGUUCCGGGUCGAAACGACAGAACGGUGCUGUUGUGUCGAUAGUGGUUGUGUCCGUUUCAAAUGUAUCAUAGCAGACCGACUCAGAUUAAGUCUGAGGCCAGUAACAUCAACAGUGAGGACAAACACAGCCUGCCUCUCUCCUUCCACACUGAGUAGAAACCUACAGUCACUGGGUCCUGAUUGUGACAGUGGAGCCCAGUUUGCUCUGCAGGAUCCAGAGAUGGCAUCCGUGAAGCUGGAAGACUGCAGUCAAACACUGGAGCUGAAUGUCAACCUUAAAGAUGAAGAAGAGGAGAAGAUUAGGACAACUGUUAGUCAUGGUAAGAGCUGUUUCUAUCUAUAAGUUAUCUUCAUAUAUUAGACCUCCAUAAGUUAUGACCAGUCUAUUGCUAGGUUGAAUUCUGUAAUUCUGACAUCUCACAUCCCUGAACAACUCAAGACUUCACAGUGAAGCAAAAACACUUUAAACUUGUAACGCCUGCCUUUGCCCACACAUUGUCUCAAGAACGUUGAAAAUGUUUAAUACCCUCAAUCAGCAAGUUAGGCAUACCUCAUUUCAAAAUAGGCCAUGGCAUCAUCACUGUCAAUAUUGAAUUUUGAUUUGUUUGCUGCACAGAAUAUCAGAUCUCAACAACGAUUGGAGAAGUGUUGAACAUAACCAGUAGACUACCACAUCCUGGUGAUUUAUAUCUGAUACAUAUAUAUUUAAUAUGUCAAGUUGUAGAAACAUAUCAAGGAUGAUCAAUGGAAACAGGAUGCACCUGAGUUCAAUUCAAAAGUUUGGGGUCACUUAACACCAGUCUCAACGUCAACAGUGAAGAAGCGACUCCGGGAUGCUGGCCUUCUAGGCAGAGUUGUAAAGGCCAGUUUUAUUGCUUCUUUAGUCUGAACCACAGUUGAACGUCAUGCGUCCUCCUAUACACAACCCAAACAAGCCGCACUGCUUCUUAACACAGAGUCUCUUGUGGCACAGCUGGCGCUGCAGUACAGCGCCCUUAACCACUGCCUUUUAAAAUGAUCAACUUGGAUUAGCUAACACAACGUGCCAUUGGAUCACAGGAGUGAUGGUUGCUGAUAAUGGGCCUCUGUACACCUAUGUAGAUAUUCCAUAAAAUAUCUGCCGUUUCCAGCUACAAUAGUCAUUUACAACAAUAACAAUGUCUUCACUGUAUUUCUGAUCAAUUUUAUGUUAUUUUAAUGGACAAACAAUGUGCUUUUCUUUCAAAACAAGGACAUUUCUAAGUGACCCCAAACAUUUGAACAGUAGUGGAUAUUUAAUAUUUUGUAUAUAUCAAGUUGUAGAAAUAUCUCAAGGAUGAUCAUUGGAAACAGGAAGCAUCUGAACUCAAUUUUGAGUCUCUUGUUUAAAUUUUUAUUUUUAUACAUUUGCAAAAAUGUCUAAUCCUGUUUUCACUUUGUCAAUAUGGGGUAUUGUGUGUAAAUUGCUGAGGAUAUAUUUUUAUUUAAUUAUAGAAUUAGGCUUGAACAUAACAAUGUGGAAAAGUCAAGGGGUCUGAAUACUUUCCGAGGGCACUGUCAGACCCCUUCCCAUUUCUCCCAUUUUGGUACGUUACAGCCUUCUUCUAAAAUUGAUUCCAUGUUUUUCCUCGUCAAUCUACACACAAUACCCCAUAAUGACAAAGCCAAAACAGGUUUUUAGAAAGUCUUGCAAAUGCAAUUUAAAAAAAAAAUUGUUUUGCUUAUUUACAUACGUUUUCAGACCCUUUGCUAUGAGAUUAUCCUUGAGAUGUUUUUUCAACUUGGAGUCCACCUGUGGUAAAUUAAAUUGAUUGGACAUGAUUUGGACAGGCACACACCUGUCUAUGUCAGGUCCCACAUUUGACACUGCAU